UACGAAGGGGGCUAGCGUUGUUCGGAAUUACUGGGCGUAAAGCGCGCGCAGGCGGCUAUCCAAGUCAGUGGUGAAAGCCCGGGGCUCAACUCCGGAACUGCCAUUGAAACUGUUUAGCUUGAGGACGAGAGAGGUGAGUGGAAUUCCCAGUGUAGAGGUGAAAUUCGUAGAUAUUGGGAAGAACACCGGUGGCGAAGGCGGCUCACUGGCUCGUUUCUGACGCUCAGGCGCGACAGCGUGGGGAUCAAACAGG
rnacentral:rRNA from 1 species